GACGAACGCUGGCGGCGUGCUUAACACAUGCAAGUCGAACGGAAAGGCCCUGCUUGCAGGGUACUCGAGUGGCGAGCGGGCGGGUAAGACGCGGGUGAUUUGCCUUGCACUUCGGGAUAAGUAUGGGCAACUGGGCCUAACACCGGCUGGGAGCUAUAUUUAGCGUGAUGGUUGGAAAGUUUUUUCGGUGUAGGAUGUGCUUGCGGACUAUCAGCUUGGUGGUGGGGGUAUGGCCUAACGAGGCGGCGACGGGUAGCCGGCCUGAGGGGGUGGACGGCCACAUUGGGACCGGGAGGCGGCCCGGACUCCGACGGGAGGCAGCAGGGGGGAAUAUUGCACGAAGGGCGCCAGCCUGAUGCAGCGACGCCGCGGGGGGGAAGACCGCCUUCAGGUGGGAAACACCUUUCGCUAGGUACGAAGCUUUUUGUGACGGUACCUAGAGAAGAAGCCCCGGCUAACUACGUG
rnacentral:rRNA from 1 species